UUCUCCAUGGUGGAAUGGUAGACACACAUGAUUCAAAAUCAUGCGCUUUAAGCGUGCCGGUUCAAGUCCGGUUGGGGAUA
rnacentral:tRNA from 1 species